rnacentral:rRNA from 1 species
UAGGGAAUCUUCCACAAUGGACGCAAGUCUGAUGGAGCAACGCCGCGUGAGUGAAGAAGGUCUUCGGAUCGUAAAGCUCUGUUGUUGGUGAAGAAGGAUAGAGGCAGUAACUGGUCUUUAUUUGACGGUAAUCAACCAGAAAGUCACGGCUAACUACGUGCCAGCAGCCGCGGUAAUACGUAGGUGGCAAGCGUUGUCCGGAUUUAUUGGGCGUAAAGCGAGCGCAGGCGGAAUGAUAAGUCUGAUGUGAAAGCCCACGGCUCAACCGUGGAACUGCAUCGGAAACUGUCAUUCUUGAGUGCAGAAGAGGAGAGUGGAACUCCAUGUGUAGCGGUGGAAUGCGUAGAUAUAUGGAAGAACACCAGUGGCGAAGGCGGCUCUCUGGUCUGCAACUGACGCUGAGGCUCGAAAGCAUGGGUAGCGAACAGGAUUAGAUACCCUGGUAGUCCAUGCCGUAAACGAUGAGCGCU